GGUAAAUUAAUCUCUCAACUGGUUGAACACAGCUUUAGAGAUGUCAACAGCCUCCUAUGAGUCUAGAGUCAGGUGGUACAGGCUCAACUGGUCUAACAGCUGCAAAUUUUGAGAGAGUGCUGUGCUAAUGUUUGGGGCUCAGAUUUAAGGUAGAGGUAUGAUUUACGUACUUUGAGCAGCCAAGCCUUCUUCAGAAGAAACCUGAGCGGCAUGUGCUCCUCCCCACCUGCUUCCCCGCAACAGGAAGAACUCUGCAGAAGGUCUCCUCACCUUGUUGAGGCCUGGGAAUGUGCAAAUGUGCAGGAUUUUCCACACUAUUCGAGAGAGAGAGUAAAUAAACUUGUGUAAGUUAAUUGCAUCAACUACAAAUAAGACCUGUA
rnacentral:antisense_RNA from 1 species